GCUUCGGGCGCCCGGCCGCUGGCUGCGCUAGGACCCACGGCCGCCGGCCGCCGAGGGGCACCGGGAAGGGAGGAGCGGGCGCCGGCCGGGGCGCAGCGCGGCAUGCAGCGGCGGGCUCCUGCGCCCGCGUGAGGCUGUCGGCCCCGCGCCCCGCCAUGGCUGGGAAGGACAGUGGCAACCUGAAGACGGUGAGGCUGUGGCGGGACGCCGCCCUGCGCGCCAGGAAGCUGCGGAGCAACCUGCGCCAGCUCACGCUCAGCGCGGCCGGGGGCGGCGCCGACCCGCUCGAGUCCCCCGACGCCCCCCAGCUCGUGCUGCCGGCCAACAUCGGGGACAUUGAGGUGCUGAACCUGGGGAACAACGGCCUGGAGGAGGUGCCCGAGGGGCUGGGGUCGGCGCUGGGCAGCCUGCGCGUCCUGGUACUGCGCAGGAACCGCUUUGCCCGGCUGCCCCCGGCCGUGGCCGAGCUCGGCCACCACCUCACCGAGCUGGACGUGAGCCACAACCGGCUGGCCGCCCUGGGAGCGGAGGUGGUGAGCGCCCUGCGGGAGCUGCGCAAGCUCAACCUCAGCCACAACCAGCUGCCUGCGCUGCCCGCCCAGCUGGGCUCCCUCGCGCACCUGGAGGAGUUGGACGUCAGCUUUAACCGGCUGGCGCACCUGCCCGACUCGCUGGCUUGCCUCCACCGCCUGCGCACCCUGGACGUGGACCACAACCAGCUUAGCGCCUUCCCCCGGCAGCUGCUGCAGCUGGCAGCCCUGGAGGAACUGGACGUGUCCAGCAACCGGCUGCGAGGCCUACCUGAGGAUAUCAGCGCCCUGAGCGCCCUCAAGAUCCUGUGGCUGAGCGGCGCCGAGCUGGGCACCUUGCCCAGCGGCUUCUGCGAGCUGGCCAGUUUGGAGAGCCUCAUGCUGGACAGCAACGGGCUUCAGGCUCUGCCCGCCCAGUUCAGCCGGCUGCAAAGGCUCAAAAUGCUCAACCUCUCCUCCAACCUCUUUGAGGAGUUCCCUGCCGCGCUGCUGCCCCUGGCUGGCCUGGAGGAGCUCUACCUGAGCCGCAACCAGCUCACCUCGGUGCCAUCCCUGAUCUCGGGCCUGAGCCGGCUGCUCACUCUGUGGCUGGAUAACAACCGCAUCCGCUACCUGCCCGACUCCAUCGUGGAGCUGACCGGCCUGGAGGAGCUGGUGCUGCAGGGCAAUCAGAUCGCUGUGCUGCCGGACAACUUUGGCCAGCUCUCCAGGGUGGGCCUGUGGAAGAUCAAGGACAACCCCCUGAUCCAGCCCCCCUACGAGGUCUGCAUGAAGGGGAUCCCCUACAUCGCGGCCUACCAGAAGGAGCUGGCGCAUUCCCAGCCGGCGGUGCAGCCCCGCCUCAAACUGCUCCUGUUGGGCCACAAGGCUGCAGGCAAGACCUUGCUCCGCCAUGGCCUCACGGAGGAGCGAGUGGAGGGCGGCCAGGGAGGAGGGGACCAGGAGAAGAGCUGCCCACCUGCGCCUCCGCAGGGGAGCAAGGGCAUCGAAGUGACCAGCUGGACGGCCGAUGCUUCCCGGGGCCUGCGCUUCAUCGUGUAUGACUUGGCCGGGGACGAAAGUUACGAGGUGAUCCAGCCCUUCUUCCUCUCCCCGGGGGCCCUGUACGUGCUGGUGGUCAACUUGGCCACCUAUGAGCCGCGCCGCUUUCCCAGCACCGUGGGCUCCUUCCUGCACCGGGUGGGGGCGCGGGUGCCUCACGCCGUGGUGUGCAUCGUGGGCACGCACGCGGACCUGUGCGGGGAGCGGGAACUGGAGGAGAAGUGCCUGGACAUCCACCGGCAGAUCGCCCUGCAGGAGAAGCGCGAUGCCGAGGGGCUGAGCCGUCUGGCCCGGGUGGUGGACGAGGCCCUGGCCCGGGACUUCGAGCUGCGCUCGGCCAGCCCCCACGCGGCCUACUACGGCGUGUCCGACAAGAACCUGCGGCGGCGCAAGGCCCAUUUCCAGUACCUGCUCAACCACCGGCUGCAGAUCCUCUCCCCGGUGCUGCCGGUGAGCUGCAGGGACCCCCACCAGUUGCAGCGCCUACGGGACAAGCUGCUCUCGGUGGCCGAGCACCGAGAAAUCUUCCCCAACUUGCAUCGCGUCCUGCCUCGGUCCUGGCAGGUGCUGGAGGAGCUGCACUUCCAGCCACCGCAGGCGCAACGACUUUGGCUGAGCUGGUGGGACUCUGCGCGCCUGGGCUUGCAGGCGGGGCUGACCGAGGACCGGCUGCAGAGCGCCCUCUCCUACCUGCACGAGAGCGGCAAGCUGCUCUACUUCGAAGACAGCCCAGCCCUCAAGGAGCACGUCUUCCACAACCUCACCCGCCUCAUCGACAUCCUCAAUGUCUUCUUCCAGCGGGAUGCUUCCCUGCUGUUGCACAAACUGCUGCUGGGCGCCCGUGGAGAGGGCGAGGGUGAGGCAGACGGCUCCCCCGCCGGGGCGCUGCCCACGCCCGGCCAGGACCUGCUGCGGGCCACCCAGCUCCAUCAUUACGUGGAGGGCUUCCUGCUGCACGGGCUCUUGCCAGCCCACGUCAUUCGGUUGCUGCUCAAGCCUCAUGUCCAGGCCCAGCAGGAUUUGCAGCUGCUGCUGGAGUUGCUGGAGAAGAUGGGACUCUGUUACUGCCUCAAUAAACCCAAGGGGAAGCCUCUGAAUGGGUCCACGGCCUGGUACAAGUUCCCCUGCUACGUGCAGAAUGAGGUGCCCCACGCAGAAGCCUGGAUUAAUGGGACCAACCUAGCCGGGCAGUCUUUUGUGGCGGAGCAACUGCAGAUUGAAUAUAGUUUCCCCUUUACCUUUCCACCGGGCUUGUUUGCGCGCUACAGCGUGCAGAUCAACAGCCAUGUGGUGCACAGAUCGGAUGGCAAAUUUCAGAUCUUUGCGUACAGAGGGAAAGUGCCCGUGGUGGUGAGUUACAGACCUGCCAAGGGGGUCCUGCAGCCAGACACCCUGUCCAUUGCCAGCCAUGCCUCGUUGCCCAACAUAUGGACCGCAUGGCAAGCCAUAACCCCGUUGGUGGAGGAGCUCAACGUACUGCUGCAGGAGUGGCCCGGUCUGCACUACACCGUGCACAUCCUCUGUUCUAAGUGCCUUAAGAGAGGGUCGCCCAAUCCGCACGCUUUCCCAGGGGAGUUGCUGAGUCAGCCCAGACCGGAAGGAGUGGCAGAGAUCAUUUGCCCCAAGAACGGCAGCGAGCGAGUGAAUGUUGCCUUGGUUUACCCACCGACGCCGACUGUGAUCAGCCCCUGUUCCAAGUAUCUUCAUACUUUCUUGGAAAAUUAAGUGGAAAAGCUAGUGCUUCUUUCCCUUAUGCCACCAUUUUUACUGUUCCCAAUCUGUGACUUUAGGAGCACCUGUGUUUAAGGGAAGAACGUUGGUGAGAAGCACAGAAACCAGUGACUCUUGUGGCUGUGGAAUUUCUGCAGAGCAGAGAGCGGAGCAGGACGUCCCGGGCCCACCGGCUGGCCCUCCACACUCCCCAGCUUGUGCCGUGAACUUGAAGGAAGCGGUGUUCCGGACGGGGAGGGAGCAGGGGAAGGGUGGGAGGAGCUAUGGAGCAAAUGUUUUACAACCUGAACCUCAGAACUGUGAUCCUCCAAGGAGAGCACUACUUGAAGACAAGAAAAAAAAAAGUCGAAUGGCUUCUCAGGGAUUUUGUUUUCCAUGUACAUAAAAGCCAUAGUUUCCGUACAGGUGGCAGUAUGUCGAGCACUCAAAUUUCAGUUCUGUUCAAUGUGAAAGAAGGAUCGACUGAUGUUCAUCGCUGUUCCGUAACUAGUGUAAAAUAUGUAUAUGUUUAUCUUUAUUUUUAUAAUAUGCAAAUGCAUUUAAAUUUAUACAGUUUGAAGCUUCUAGCGUUAGUUGACACUGGGUGCAAUACUUUGCAUGAGAACUGUGCCAAGAUGGGGCCCAUCUCUUUAUUUUCCUGCACCGGCAAGUCUUGUUUGUUCUUCUUUUAUUCUUUAAUCCGCCUUCUCAGAUUCAGAAAAAGAAAACAGAUGUCUGUCUAGGAGCCCAGGGUCCGGAGAGAUUGCCAGCAAUGAGCAAGGGCCUGCCAUGCGCGUCUCAGACAUUGUCCCCACCCUGCCCAUGAGUCACCAGGGGUCCCCUCCCUUUCCUCACACAGCCUGAGUGCCUGGACACCCUGAGUCCUUUCAGUAACUUAAGAGGAUCGGGGAUCCAUUCUGGAUCGUGCCAAGAGCUCUAUUGUUAAGUCCCCAUCUUGGCUAGAACAGUCUGAGAUGUAGCACAGCACUUUGAGGGCCCCCACAUCUGGCCAGCAGACCUUCGGAGAGGAGGCUGCCUAAUUGGAGAGCGGCAUUGCUCCUGAGUUACUGGUACAUACAGAGCCUCUUGUUGGACCAGUAAGAUCCUGGUUUUAACAUCUCUAUAAGGUACAGCUUGCAAAGCAAACCAAGCAAUUCACUCGCUCUCCUACUCCUAAUUGGAGCCAACCAGUAGUGCAGUAGUAACACCUGCUUUGGAGAAUGUGUUUACAUCUGCCUCCUCCCCAAGGGGAUCAAAAAAAAAAAAAACCUCACAGUUUCUCAACAGUGCCAGGCAAGGAAAGUGAGUCAGCUGCUAUUACUCUUCCACUUCUUUCAGAAAGUAUUGACUCUUGGGAUGCCAAUGUGUACAAAAAGUGUCUCAGAGAAAUAAACAAGUGGCCGCACUGCAAGAAAUCACAGGCUGUUUGCAUGCUGCACCCCCGGGGGGCCCACCGCCCCGUCUCCUGGAUGGCCAGUGGAGUGCAUCUGAUUUCUCUCAACCAUAAAAUCAAUGGGAGCAGACGAUGUUUGCGUUUUGUAACACUAGAAUGCGGCACAUCAAGCUUGGGGUUUCGUUUACUUUUUGAACACAGUCACACAAUUACUCUGGUUGAUCCUUUUGUCACAGUUCUCGUGUGUGUGUGUGUGUGUGGGUGUGUGUAAGCUGAAUGUUAACAUUUAAUUGCUUCAUGAACUGUUGAAUUGUUGGGCAAUAAAAGUUAAUCAAUUGGCAUGAGACAGUGUCUCCACUGUCCGAUGAACCAACUUUGACCAGUCUUCUUAAAGAAAAAGACUCUGCAGUGUUGACUUUGGGCUAACUUCCCAGGGGGCCGUAGAAAAUGGAAGAAGCGCUCCUUUGGGCGACACAUCCCGCAGAGUGUCUGCUCCUCUCAUGAACGUAGAUGCCCACAUUCCUAAUAUCUGCUGAUUUGUGACAAGCGAUGUUUUGUGCUGUCAUCUGAACCCUAGAGAAGCAGUGUAAGAAGAAACCUUGGCGUCACAUGGUUCUAGCGAAAGGGUGGCCGUGGCGGAGGGUCCUGUGACCACGGAGAAGCUCCAGGAAAGCAUGAGAACUUGCUUUGGGGGUCGGGGAGGGGCGGGGUCCAGAAACAUUGUGAUUGUGCUCUACAGCAAUUUCUGCCGUCCAUGCAGGAAAUUCCAUUCCCUUUCAACACCUGGGAAGCCAGCGGCCCGCCGAGGCUGACAGCCCAUCCACUAAGCACAAGAGGAAUUUUUUUCUUCCCAACCAAGGAGUCCCUGGCCUCGCAAACAGAUGCCCUCCAAGUUUAUUAUGGUUUCUAUUCCUGAAACUCGUGGUAUCAAAACCACUUCCUGGAAUUGUAAAAGCGUUGCCAGAACAAAUGUUUUUCCCCCUUCUAAGAAAAAAAAAAAUGACAGUGCUCAUAAUUGACACUUGUACGUUGGACUCUCUUUGAAUGAAUAGAAAGGAAAGGGUUUGCUGUACUUCCUGGCGGAGUGUGUGUGGUUUUCCAUGCCACGGUUUGUGAACUGUAAUUGUGGUUUCCUACUUCAUUGUUGUAACCAGGCAGAAAUGAAAAAAACAAACAAAAAAAAAUUCAAUAAAAGUGCAAAGAAAUGGUUAAGCCAUUCUAA